rnacentral:rRNA from 1 species
CGAAGAACCUUACCAACCCUUGACAUGGGAAGUAUGGGCCUGGGAGACCGGGUCCUUCAGUUCGGCUGGCUUCCACACAGGUGCUGCAUGGCUGUCGUCAGCUCGUGUCGUGAGAUGUUGGGUUAAGUCCCGCAACGAGCGCAACCCUCCUCUUCAGUUGCCAUCAUUGAGUUGGGCACUCUGGAGAUACUGCCGGUGACAAGCCGGAGGAAGGCGGGGAUGACGUCAAGUCCUCAUGGCCCUUACGGGUUGGGCUACACACGUGCUACAAUGGCGGUGACAGUGGGCAGCGAAGGGGCGACCUGGAGCUAAUCCCCAAAAGCCGUCUCAGUUCGGAUUGCACUCUGCAACUCGGGUGCAUGAAGUUGGAAUCGCUAGUAAUCGCGGAUCAGCACGCCGCGGUGAAUACGUUCCCGGGUCUUGUACACACCGA